rnacentral:lncRNA from 1 species
AUCCCUUUCGAGUCUUGUAGUAAUAUUUUCUUUUUCUGGCCCUCUGGGUCUUGUAACAUACAUCUUGUUAAUCAAAAAAUGAGAAGGAGAUUUUGUUACAUCGUUCACACUUUGCGUCGAAUUGCUGCCUGCCGAACUUCUUUCCUUUACCAUUGUUAUUGUUGUAUUCCCUUCUCUCUCAUUCUCUUCUUUCUCUUCUUUUUUUUUUUUUUUGACGUCGUCCAGAGGUUAUCGAUUGUUGCCACGUCGGCUCGCCUUUCCAGUUAUCCUUCUCCUUCAGCCUUAAUGGCUCUAUAAUGCAUAUUUAAUAAAUAAUAUGAGAAGAAAAUUUUCUGCUAUCUCUUUUACUCAUGUAUUGAAUUGUUGCUUGCCGAGCUUCUUUCGGUCUUUGCAUCGUUUGGAGGUACCCGAUUGCCAUCACAUCGACCCAUCCUUUCAUCCAUGGCCGCAGAUUUGCCUG